UACAGAGGGUGCGAGCGUUAAUCGGAAUUACUGGGCGUAAAGCGUGCGUAGACGGUUUCGUAAGUCGGGUGUGAAAUCCCCGGGCUCAACCUGGGAAUUGCAUUCGAAACUGCGAGGCUAGGGUACGGAAGAGGGAAGCGGAAUUUCGGGUGUAGCGGUGAAAUGCGUAGAUAUCCGAAGGAACAUCAGUGGCGAAAGCGGCUUCCUGGACCAGAACUGACGAUCAGGCUCGAAAGCGUGGGGAGCAAACAGG
rnacentral:rRNA from 1 species